UUUCAUUUGCUUUAGGUAGUACACUUAAAACCGUAAUACAAUGGCGGUCUUAAAUCACUAGAGAAACUCGUUUCAUAAUCGUAAAUACCCGAUAAAUUUAACUUUUAUUAAAAAUCUAUAUACCGCCGUUAAAGAACUUUUUCAAAAAAUAGGUCCAAACAUUCAUAAAACAAAAAUCAGGUCAAGGUGUAGUCAAUAUAAAAGAAGAAAUAAGUUACCAUAAAAAUAAUUUAAGGAAUAAAAACGAAAAUAAUUAAGAAAAAGAAUUUAUAUACACAUUAUAGUUAAAAACUCUAAUCGAAACAAAACUAAAAGACGU
rnacentral:rRNA from 1 species